rnacentral:rRNA from 1 species
GGUUAAGCGACUAAGCGUACACGGUGGAUGCCCUGGCAGUCAGAGGCGAUGAAGGGCGUGCUAAUCUGCGAUAAGCGCCGGUAAGGUGAUAUGAACCGUUAUAACCGGCGAUACCCGAAUGGGGAAACCCAGUGUGAYUCGUCACACUAUCAUUAACUGAAUCCAUAGGUUAAUGAGGCGAACCGGGGGAACUGAAACAUCUAAGUACCCCGAGGAAAAGAAAUCAACCGAGAUUCCCCCAGUAGCGGCGAGCGAACGGGGAGGAGCCCAGAGCCUGAAUCAGCAUGUGUGUUAGUGGAAGCGUCUGGAAAGGCGCGCGAUACAGGGUGACAGCCCCGUACACAAAAGCGCAUGUGCUGUGAGCUCGAUGAGUAGGGCGGGACACGUGGUAUCCUGUCUGAAUAUGGGGGGACCAUCCUCCAAGGCUAAAUACUCCUGACUGACCGAUAGUGAACCAGUACCGUGAGGGAAAGGCGAAAAGAACCCCGGCGAGGGGAGUGAAAAAGAACCUGAAACCGUGUACGUACAAGCAGUGGGAGCCCCACCACUAAGCCAGUGGUGAACUCCACAUACGCAUCCUUUGCUGAGGAUACGGUUAACGGAGCGAAAGCGACGUUCAACCUCAAAAGAAGCAGAGGGGGCUUAGUGGUGGGGUGACUGCGUACCUUUUGUAUAAUGGGUCAGCGACUUAUAUUCUGUAGCAAGGUUAACCGAAUAGGGGAGCCGGAGGGAAACCGAGUCUUAAUUGGGCGUUAAGUUGCAGGGUAUAGACCCGAAACCCGGUGAUCUAGCCAUGGGCAGGUUGAAGGUUGGGUAACACUAACUGGAGGACCGAACCGACUAAUGUUGAAAAAUUAGCGGAUGACCUGUGGCUGGGGGUGAAAGGCCAAUCAAACCGGGAGAUAGCUGGUUCUCCCCGAAAGCUAUUUAGGUAGCGCCUCGUGAAUUCAUCUCCGGGGGUAGAGCACUGUUUCGGCUAGGGGGCCAUCCCGGCUUACCAACCCGAUGCAAACUGCGAAUACCGGAGAAUGUUAUCACGGGAGACACACGGCGGGUGCUAACGUCCGUCGUGAAGAGGGAAACAACCCAGACCGCCAGCUAAGGUCCCAAAGUCAUGGUUAAGUGGGAAACGAUGUGGGAAGGCCCAGACAGCCAGGAUGUUGGCUUAGAAGCAGCCAUCAUUUAAAGAAAGCGUAAUAGCUCACUGGUCGAGUCGGCCUGCGCGGAAGAUGUAACGGGGCUAAACCAUGCACCGAAGCUGCGGCAGCGAACGUAUCACCCAAGACAACUUUACGGAGUUGACGAUUGACGGAGCGAAGCGACGUCAAAGCRUUCAUUAAAGUCGAGUYGGYUUARGGAUACGUUCGUUGGGUAGGGGAGCGUUCUGUAAGCCUGUGAAGGUGGCCUGUGAGGGUUGCUGGAGGUAUCAGAAGUGCGAAUGCUGACAUAAGUAACGAUAAAGCGGGUGAAAAGCCCGCUCGCCGGAAGACCAAGGGUUCCUGUCCAACGUUAAUCGGGGCAGGGUGAGUCGACCCCUAAGGCGAGGCCGAAAGGCGUAGUCGAUGGGAAACGGGUUAAUAUUCCCGUACUUGGUGUUACUGCGAAGGGGGGACGGAGAAGGCUAUGUUGGCCGGGCGACGGUUGUCCCGGUUUAAGCGUGUAGGUGUGUGUUCCAGGUAAAUCCGGUUCACUUUAACACUGAGGCGUGAYGACGAGGCACUACGGUGCUGAAGCAACAAAUGCCCUGCUUCCAGGAAAAGCCUCUAAGCAUCAGGUAACAUCAAAUCGUACCCCAAACCGACACAGGUGGUCAGGUAGAGAAUACCAAGGCGCUUGAGAGAACUCGGGUGAAGGAACUAGGCAAAAUGGUGCCGUAACUUCGGGAGAAGGCACGCUGACACGUAGGUGAAGUGAUUUACUCACGGAGCUGAAGUCAGUCGAAGAUACCAGCUGGCUGCAACUGUUUAUUAAAAACACAGCACUGUGCAAACACGAAAGUGGACGUAUACGGUGUGACGCCUGCCCGGUGCCGGAAGGUUAAUUGAUGGGGUCAGCGCAAGCGAAGCUCCUGAUCGAAGCCCCGGUAAACGGCGGCCGUAACUAUAACGGUCCUAAGGUAGCGAAAUUCCUUGUCGGGUAAGUUCCGACCUGCACGAAUGGCGUAAUGAUGGCCAGGCUGUCUCCACCCGAGACUCAGUGAAAUUGAACUCGCUGUGAAGAUGCAGUGUACCCGCGGCAAGACGGAAAGACCCCGUGAACCUUUACUAUAGCUUGACACUGAACAUUGAGCCUUGAUGUGUAGGAUAGGUGGGAGGCUUUGAAGYGUGGACGCCAGUCUGCRUGGAGCCGACCUUGAAAUACCACCCUUUAAUGUUUGAUGUUCUAACGUGGACCCGUWAYCCGGGUUGCGGACAGUGUCUGGUGGGUAGUUUGACUGGGGCGGUCUCCUCCUAAAGAGUAACGGAGGAGCACGAAGGUUGGCUAAUCCUGGUCGGACAUCAGGAGGUUAGUGCAAUGGCAUAAGCCAGCUUGACUGCGAGCGUGACGGCGCGAGCAGGUGCGAAAGCAGGUCAUAGUGAUCCGGUGGUUCUGAAUGGAAGGGCCAUCGCUCAACGGAUAAAAGGUACUCCGGGGAUAACAGGCUGAUACCGCCCAAGAGUUCAUAUCGACGGCGGUGUUUGGCACCUCGAUGUCGGCUCAUCACAUCCUGGGGCUGAAGUAGGUCCCAAGGGUAUGGCUGUUCGCCAUUUAAAGUGGUACGCGAGCUGGGUUUAGAACGUCGUGAGACAGUUCGGUCCCUAUCUGCCGUGGGCGCUGGAGAACUGAGGGGGGCUGCUCCUAGUACGAGAGGACCGGAGUGGACGCAUCACUGGUGUUCGGGUUGUCAUGCCAAUGGCACUGCCCGGUAGCUAAAUGCGGAAGAGAUAAGUGCUGAAAGCAUCUAAGCACGAAACUUGCCCCGAGAUGAGUUCUCCCUGAGACUUWRAGUCUCCUGAAGGAACGUUGAAGACGACGACGUUGAUAGGCCGGGUGUGUAAGCGCAGCGAUGCGUUGAGCUAACCGGUACUAAUGAACCGUGAGGCUUAACCUU